UACAGAUCCAAGAUUGGAAAUGUAUCAUCUUAUAUGACAGAGAUAAAACAUGCAUGAAAAUCAUGCAUCAAAGCCAUGAAAUGGGCUACAAAUACAAUACAAAUACGGUAUUUAAAAGUGUA